GGAUGAUACAGUGCCUACAGCCUUGGGUUUCUGGCUCCAUGCAGAACAAGGGGCUAUUUCUGUUCUUCUGGUCAAUUGAAGCCUUUACAGUUGCUCUAUUAAUGAAUGCUCAAGAUCCUUCUGGCCAUUUCCUGCUCCAGGGAAAGAACUGAUCAGUCAUUAUAAGAGCUGAAUUGUCUUUCCCAUGCCACAUGACACAGUACUACAUGAGAAAACCAGCAGCUGACAUGUCUAUAGAGAUCAUUCUGUACCAGAAACAGCUCCAGGUAUGGUGGGUAUGUAUACAGCAUGCUCUUUUACACCUAGGGUCCUCUGUCACAGAUAAAUGACUGUUUAUAUGUUCUACAGGAGGUGACUGGAUCUCUAAGUGUUUAAGGUCACACUCUAAGGAAGUGGCAGUGGGUAGAAUUUGAUUCAGAGUUCAAAUUGGUAACCAAUUCUCCUGGAGAUUUAUUAUCAUUAUUGCGGCUGUCUGAGCAGUCUUGGCACAUGUCUUUAAUCCAGCCACUUGGGAGGUAGAGACAAUCAGUUUUCUGAGUCAGAGGGCAUCCUGGUGUACAGAAUAGGUUCUGGGGCAGCCAGGUGUACACAGAUGAAAGCUGC
rnacentral:lncRNA from 1 species